rnacentral:rRNA from 1 species
UACGUAGGGACCAAGCGUUGUUCGGAUUUACUGGGCGUAAAGGGCGCGUAGGCGGCAAUUCAAGUCAGUUGUGAAAUCUCCGAGCUUAACUCGGAACGGUCAACUGAUACUGUUUUGCUAGAGUACAGAAGGGGCAAUCGGAAUUCUUGGUGUAGCGGUGAAAUGCGUAGAUAUCAAGAGGAACACCUGAGGUGAAGACGGGUUGCUGGGAUGAUACUGACGCUGAGGCGCGAAAGCUAGGGUAGCAAACGGG